CCUGCAAUAGGCAGCAUGGAGAACAGCUUCUUUUCAUCCACCUAGUCCCAUUCCAUCUCCUUAGUGAACAUCUGCUGUAGGGACCUGCAGUCUCUGUUUAUGGCAAGGACUUUCUGAAUAUUGGUAAGACUGGGUGCUAUUCAUCUCUCUCUACUGCUGGAAAGAAUGGCUAUGUUUGUUUAAAAGUUACUUCAGUGUCUUUAUUUCUAAGAGAUGAAGUUUCCUUCUCAAAAGCCUGUCUUCAACUAUUGCAUUUAUGGUGAUCAUAAAAUUGAAUUACAAUUUUGGCAAUCAUAAAUUUUACCAAAGUGGGACACUUAUGAGAGUGAAAAGGGUGCUAUUAAUAAUGGCACUGGGAGAUAGCUGUAAAGUAUGACUGUCCCAGGCAAAUGAGAAUGAAAGUUCAUCCUAGUUAUAAUGGUGUGGAAAUCGUUUCAUUCAGGAUGUCUCUAGUGAGACUGAUGGACAAGGGAAGGGAUGUGCGAUGUCACAAGGUAAACCAGGUGAUGAAUCAAUGCCGUGCAUGUACAAGGACAUUAGAAAUCAUAGGCUGCCAGGACCAACACAAGAGGGAAGAACUGCAUCAUUGUUACGGAUCACCUAUAUGAGAUUGUUUAAGUAUGCCAGAAUCUGUUCAAUUUUGUAAUUUACGUAUCUGCUGUCCUCAGCUGAAGUACUUGAGGGCAAGUUCUGGGGAUGGGAGUCACCUGACAGCUUAUCAGUUGCCAGUACUACUCUAAGCAGCUGGAGGAAUGGGGUGUUUCUUUCAUAUGUGGGGAUCGGGGUGGGCACCACAGCAUUCACUAGAAUAUUCGUUCUCAACCUUUACUGCAUAUUAGAGUCUCCUGAGGAGCUCUGCACACUUCCAAAGCCUAGCCUGCACUCCAGAUCAAUUUAAUCAUGAUUUCUGGGAGUGGGGCCCAGAGGUCAGUGUUUUUUAAAAUCCUCCAAAUGAUUCCAAUGAGCAGCCACAGCUAAGUUUGAGAAAUAUCAUAUUUUAUUAUCCUUGUUCACUUAUCCAGGUAUUUUUUUAUUAUACCCUAAGUUCUGGGAUACAUGUGCAGAAAGUGCAGGUUUGUUACAUAGGUAUACAUGUGCCAUGGUGGUUUGCUGCACCCAUCAACCAGUCAUCUACAUUAGGUAUUUGUGCUAAUGCUCUCCCUCCCCUUGCCCCCCACCCUCCUACAGGCCCCAGUGUGUGAUGUUCCCCUCCCUGUGCCCAUAUGUUCUCAUUGUUCAACUCCCACUUGUAAGAACAUGCGGUGUUUGGUUUUCUGUUCUUGUGUUAGUUUGCUGAGAAUGAUGGUUUCCAACUUCAUUUAUGUCCCCGCAAAGAACUUAUCCAG
rnacentral:lncRNA from 1 species